rnacentral:lncRNA from 1 species
AAGCAGAAAGGCAACCGUUACCCUAUAUAAGGAAAACACUAAUGAUAGAUAGUCCGAACGAACCAUCUUCGGCUAAUAUUACACUUCACAAAAAACAAUAGGUGGGGCAUGUUUUAUUCUGUACAAAAGGUUAUAACUGUAAAAGAGCCGGUGAAAGCGGAAUUUUAGGUGUGCAGUUUGACAAAAAUGGGCACUCUGGGUGUACUCAAUUUUGCGUGGUCCACAAAAUCAGCUUGUGCCCAUUUUGUUCAAUCUAAUAGAUUUUGUACCCAUAUUUACCAAUGGAUUGUCUAACAUUGCAAAUUAACUACUAAUUAAGCUCAUAAACUAAGCAGGCUACUAAUUAGGUCUUCUACGGUUAAGAAGACGAUAGCUGACUUGUAAUUAAAUAGAUAAACCACUAGUUACCUAUAGAAAUUAACUACAUAAACCAAGUAGACUACUAUAGUCAAGAUCAUCUAAAAUUACUAAUAAAAGUAGACUAUCUAACAUUACUAGGUUAGUAUAGCUAACUAGACUAAGUACAGUAUCUAACAUUACUAGUUAAGAAACAAACUAAAUACAUACUAUAGAAUUUUAAAUAUAAAUAUUUAAAAUUCUAUAGUUACUUUGUUCACAAUGUCUCACUCAUUGCAAGAUUAAGAAACAAGGAUCAAAAUUAUGUCAAACUUUGUUCACAUAUCAAAAAAUAUUCACUGAAUGUUAACUAAAGCCGACAUUAAUUUAAGCAUAUAGGAGGCUCAGAUUCACCAUUUCCAAGCAGAAAAGUGAACAUGACAACCAUAGCUGCAACAAAAGAAAUAAAUCAGAAGCUCACGAGUUACCCAAAGUUUGCCAGACAGCCACACACACACACACAAAAGAAAGAAAGCAGAUAUAUUGGUUGAAGGGCUGUUGCCAAUAUAAGAAACGUAAUCAGUAAUCACAGGCUCAGCUGCCUAUCAGAGAGGACAGAAUCAACCACACUGGAACCAACCGUCUCUCACUGAGAGCAAAGCCCCGUACUUAGACCAUUCACACAGCAAUAUGUUAACCUUUUUCAGGGCUAGCCACAUACUAGCAACCAUCAAGAAAACAUGAAGAAUACAAGGGGAAGCAGGCAGCCAUCAGUUGUCAAAAUAUAAGUUGGUGGUAGGCCAGAACACUAUCGAGGAAGUUACAAUUGAUUAAGAGUUCACAAUCAAAGUGUAACUACUAAGUGGGGAUUCACUAGAACAACAACAAAUUAUGCCAAUUGUUCACAUACCAAAAAUAUUCACCGCAUGUAAAACUGAAGUCCACCUUGAUUUAAGCAUAUAAAAUGAGGCUCAGAUUAGCCUUUUUCAAGCAGAAAAGUGAACAUGACAACCAUGGCAACAAAAGAGCUCAAAAUCAGAAGCUCAUGAGUCACCCACUUAAAGUUCACCAGACAGCCACUCACACAGACAAUCAGAUAUAUUGGUAUAAGGGCAGUUGCAAACACAAGAAACGUAUUCAGUAAUCACUAGCUCCGCUGCCUAUCAGAGAGCAUAGAGUCAACCACUGUGAAACCAACCGCCUCUCACUGAGAGCAAGGCCUCAUACUUAAACCAUUCACACAACAAUCUUAAGGUAAACAAAUUUCAUGCAAAAGCAAUCGUGAAUUUCAUGACAACCAUGGCCACAACAAAAGAGCUCAAAAUCAGAAGCUCACGAGUCACCCACCCGAAGUUCGCCAGACAGCCACUCACACAUACAAGAAAGAAAGCAGAUUUAUUGGUAUAAGGGCAGUUGCAAACACAAGAAACGUAAUCAGUAAUCAUUGGCUCCGCUGCCUAUCAAAGAGCACAGAGUCAACCACCCUGAAACCAACCGCCUCUCACUGAGAGAAAAGCCUCAUACUUAAACCAUUCACACAGCAAUCUUAAGGAAAACAAAUUUCAUGCAAAAGCAAUUGCGAAUUUCUUUCUUAGAAAAAUGUUCAAAAUCAAGUGCGAGCAUGAAAAGGAACUAAAGUGCAUGUUAUGUCAACCUUUUUUCUGGCUAGCCACAUUCUAGCCAUGAAGAAAAAAGGAAAGGGUAAGCAGGCAACCAUUAGUUGUCAAAAUAUAAGUUGGUAGAUAUAGGCAAGAACACUAUCAAGGAAGUUACAAUUGAUUAAGAGUAUAAAAGUUCAUAAUGAAAGUGUAACUACUGAGUGG